CUAACAUGCAGUCGAGCGGACUUUAAAAGCUUGCUUUUAAAGUUAGCGGCGGACGGGUGAGUAACACGUGGGCAACCUGCCUGUAAGACUGGGAUAACUUCGGGAAACCGGAGCUAAUACCGGAUAAUCCUUUUCCUCUCAUGAGGAAAAGCUGAAAGACGGUUUACGCUGUCACUUACAGAUGGGCCCGCGGCGCAUUAGCUAGUUGGUGAGGUAACGGCUCACCAAGGCGACGAUGCGUAGCCGACCUGAGAGGGUGAUCGGCCACACUGGGACUGAGACACGGCCCAGACUCCUACGGGAGGCAGCAGUAGGGAAUCUUCCGCAAUGGACGAAAGUCUGACGGAGCAACGCCGCGUGAGUGAUGAAGGUUUUCGGAUCGUAAAACUCUGUUGUUAGGGAAGAACAAGUACAAGAGUAACUGCUUGUACCUUGACGGUACCUAACCAGAAAGCCACGGCUAACUACGUGCCAGCAGCCGCGGUAAUACGUAGGUGGCAAGCGUUGUCCGGAAUUAUUGGGCGUAAAGCGCGCGCAGGCGGUCCUUUAAGUCUGAUGUGAAAGCCCACGGCUCAACCGUGGAGGGUCAUUGGAAACUGGGGGACUUGAGUGCAGAAGAGAAGAGUGGAAUUCCACGUGUAGCGGUGAAAUGCGUAGAGAUGUGGAGGAACACCAGUGGCGAAGGCGACUCUUUGGUCUGUAACUGACGCUGAGGCGCGAAAGCG
rnacentral:rRNA from 2 species